CCCUGUUUUGGGUGGGAAUUUCUCACCUCUGUCUUUCUAUCCAUGCAGCUUUGGAGGUAUUGACCCGUGGAUCUGGGUCGAACAGGACUCUCAGACUUCAGCCUCACGUUCCCUAGGACUUUGCAGGAGGCUUCCUUGUUUCAGCUGGAUUUGAACCUGGAGAAGCUGGGAGCUCCCCUGCAUCCUAAGAAUGAAGCUUGCAGAGAGAAAGGUUUCCAGGUGAUGCCGCUUUGCAGGCCCGGGGCCACACUUUGAGAACCACUGAGUUUCUGAGCAGCUGCCCUAGCACCCUGUUUCAGCCAUUACCCUAGGUGGGCCUUCGCCACAGUUCA
rnacentral:lncRNA from 1 species